AAGUGGACAGAGAGAGAUGGAGAGGAUUGAGAACGUAGGUGUCAGAGUUAUCCUUAACUUCUUACUAGCACUUAUUCCCCGACCCGCUCCGCCACGGAUCCACCGUCUCUCCGUCCGUCUAUCUGCGCACCAUGUGUUCUGCUCAUUCAGCGAUCCAUCCCACCAUCGUUUGAGGAAGGUGUGAGCCCUUCCCUGGAAACUGAGGAGGCAGCGACAGCCUCUGCCCUCAGCUGCGGCCGGCGGCAGGGAUGUGAAUUUACAACAGACCAUGGAUGACUACGUUUGAGCGGGAACUGGACUCCGAGCAUCCCUUUCUGUAGGGAGAAUACAUUAGCUGCAAUGUGUUACACCGCUUGCUGACUCGGAAUCGCUGAUGGAUUGCCAUCCUGGGCGCCCGGUGACAAGGACCACUGAGAAAGUGAAGAAAGCCAGGGCAAGGCUGGCCAAAUACGGCGAGUGCUGAGACUGUGGGCCAGAAGUAUCUGGGUGGGAGGAAAGACCUUUUCCUCCAGCGCAUGCGCAGACCGGCAAGCCUUGUGCAAGGGGUUGCAUGGCUUAAAAAUCCUUCCGCGACCGCGACCGCAACCGACAAGCCGCUGUGCUUUAUCUCACUUUGCAGGUGAAGGUGUCAGGCUCAGGCGGGGCCAUGACUUGCCCUGGAUGUUGGCACUAGCUCGUGGCUGAGCCUGCGCGUGCCUCCAGGCUUUCCGACUCCCAGACCUCAGCCCGUUCCACCAUCUGGUCCUGUGAGAAGGGGACGACGGAGAGACCGGGUGGUGGAAGCGAGCUUGCAGGUAGUGGAAGCGAGCUUGCAGGUAGUGGAAGCAAGCUUGCGAGGUGGGUCUGCUCUCUCUGCACUUGGCUCUGGGCUUACGUCCUUGCAGGAGUCAGACUACAGCCGAGCUGAGCCAGCACCCCAUAGCGGUGGGGGUGGGAGUGGGGGGAUAGACAGCAGAUGUACAAGCUGGGGUCAGGAGCGCUCAGAAUUUUCUGGACCCCCUGGAGCAAGGAUCUUCCUACCAAGCCCAAGCCUCUUUCCCAUGCCCUCUGUGGCUCAGCUGAUGUGGCCCUGAGGCCCUCAGAUGUGAGGAGCUGGGACCCCGCUCACCCUAGCCACCCAGCUCUGGUGUGACUCGGCCCCAAGCUCUCUGCGGAGACCCAGGGACCCACAACAGUCUCCUGGCUUAGGGCCCCCGAGUUUCUGAAGAGCUUCCACAAACACUGAAGAUGAGGGAGGAAAAGUGUAUGUGUUGGCCCACUGGAAAACAUGACACAGAGCAGUGCCCAGAUGCCCGCCCCUGAUUAAUGACCCACCACGAGGGCGGCAUGUGUCAUCAGUGGAGGGUGGCCCAGGUCACCCCCCAGUUCUUGUAAAUCCAAGUUCAAGUACUGAAACAAUGAAUAAUUUACCCUUCUCAAAAUUGGA